rnacentral:misc_RNA from 1 species
GAAAUGCGAUACGUAAUGCGAAUUGCAGAAUUCAGUGAAUCAUCAAAUCUUUGAACGCAAAUUGCGCUCUCGGGUAUCCCUGGGAGCACGCCUCUUUGAGUAUCGGUUCUACCUCAUCUCGACAGCGUACUCGAGUUUCACAACUCGAGUUGCGUGUAGUCGGAAAAUGAGUUGUCUCAGUUCGCUUUUACUCGAGUUUACUCGUGUACAUUUCUACUGAGUCACUUUAAAUUUAGAGAAGAACUGAACCUUCCCACUUAAUUGGGGGAUGACGCAAGAUAAUUCACUCCUCGUGAGUGUUUACAACCUUCGUCUCUCCUAAGGGAUGUGUUCUGGUUUUGAUCCAGGAAUUUAUUCUUCGGAAUAAAAUCUUUUUCAGAAUAAGAUCUCAGAUGAAGCG